rnacentral:ncRNA from 1 species
UAAAUUGAGAGUUUGAUCCUGGCUCAGGACGAACGCUGGCGGCGUGCCUAACACAUGCAAGUCGAGCGAUGAAGCCCUUCGGGGUGGAUUAGCGGCGGACGGGUGAGUAACACGUGGGUAACCUGCCUUAUAGAGGGGGAUAGCCUUCCGAAAGGAAGAUUAAUACCGCAUGAAAUGUUUUUAUCGCAUGGUAGAAACAUCAAAGGAGUAAUCCGCUAUAAGAUGGACCCGCGGCGCAUUAGCUAGUUGGUGAGGUAACGGCCCACCAAGGCGACGAUGCGUAGCCGACCUGAGAGGGUGAUCGGCCACAUUGGAACUGAGACACGGUCCAGACUCCUACGGGAGGCAGCAGUGGGGAAUAUUGCGCAAUGGGGGAAACCCUGACGCAGCAACGCCGCGUGAAUGAAGAAGGCCUUAGGGUUGUAAAGUUCUGUUUUCUGGGACGAUAAUGACGGUACCAGAGGAGGAAGCCACGGCUAACUACGUGCCAGCAGCCGCGGUAAUACGUAGGUGGCAAGC